rnacentral:rRNA from 1 species
CCUACGGGAGGCAGCAGUGGGGAAUAUUGCACAAUGGGGGAAACCCUGAUGCAGCGACGCCGCGUGAGUGAAGACGUAUUUAGGUAUGUAAAGCUCUAUCAGCAGGGAAGAAAUAAAGUCCUUCGGACUUUGGACGGUACCUGACUGAGAAGCCACGGCUAACUACGUGCCAGCCACCGCGGUCAUACGUAGGGGGCAAGCGUUAUCCGGAUUUACUGGGUGUAAAGGGAGCGUAAACGGCAGCGCAAGUCUGGAGGGAAAUCCCAUGGCUUAAACAUGGAACUGCUUUUGAAACUGUGCAGCUGGAGUGCAGGAGAGGUAAGCGGAAUUCCUAGUGUAGCGGUGAAAUGCGUAGAUAUUAGGAGGAACACCAGUUGCGAAGGCGGCUUACUGGACUGUAACUGACGUUGAGGCUCGAAAGCGUGGGGAGCAAACAGGAUUAGAUACCCCUGUAGUC